rnacentral:tRNA from 1 species
CUAUAGCUCAGUAGGUAGAGCGCUCGGCUGUUAACCGAAAGGUCGUUGGUUCGAUCCCAACUGG